rnacentral:lncRNA from 1 species
UUGUUCAAUAAGGGGUGUUUACUUUAGAGGAUUAAAUUUGAUAGAUAAAAAUAGUAAGCUUAAUAUGCUGUUUACUUUGAUGGAUUAGAAUUUUGAGAUAUCCCAAGGUCCUUAAUUAUUUUUAUCAUUUAAACUAAUUUUACUUGAUUUUUAUUCCAUAAAAAGGAUAUGGUUGAAGAUAUUCUAAUCUUGAGGAUAAAAAUACUCACUUCUGUAUGUAAUCAAUUAUGUAAAGUAAACGUCUCCCAAAUUAAUGAAAAUUAAAGAAGAGAUAAUUAACGCUCUUUACCCAAAAAAAAAAAAAAAAAAAGAUAAUUCACGCGUUUGGAAAUAUGAUGGAAAUAAGGUGGAAUUUUGAGACAUGACUAAACGGUUGACGACAAAAAACAUCGCAAAUAUAGGGUUUGAAUUAGGAGGUUUGUUUGAUUGAGAGUGGUAUUG